GUGGAUGAGGCAUGCAAGUCGAACGAAGCCGCAAGGCUUAGUGGCGGAAGGGUUAGUAAUACAUGGGUAACUUGCCUUUAACUUGGGAAUAACGGUUGGAAACGACCGCUAAUACCGAAUGUGGUGAAGUGAGAUAUCUCGCUUUCAUUAAAGUGGGGGAUCGUAAGACCUCGCGGUUAAAGAGAGGCUCAUGGGAUAUCAGCUAGUUGGUGAGGUAAUGGCUCACCAAGGCUAAGACGUCUAGGCGGAUUGAGAGAUUG
rnacentral:rRNA from 1 species